UAUAAUAUACAUAUUUAUAAUAUUAAUUAUUAUUAUGUAAUAUACAUAAUAAUACAGUUAUACAUAGGGCACACAUUCUUAGACAGAUAAUGCUAAUUAGUAAUCACCCCGCCUAGUCUUAGAGCCCAGUUGUGAAGUUAUAUUUUAAACUAUUUACAUUUGCAGUCACCAAAUGCCUAUGUUUAUACAUAAAGCUAUAACUUAAUGCUAGUACCCAAUAAACCUAUACCUAAUAAUCAGGACCAGCUUUAGAAGGGGCCCACGAAGGGGUCCACAAGAUUCAAUCAAUAAGAGGCCUCCACAACAUAAGUACUUUUUGGCCUUUUGCAGUAAGUUUUGUUGGUUUUAAAGUAUGUAGUCAACAAAAAAUCCUUAUAUGUGCCCUUGGGCCCUCACCACCCUAAAUCCGGGUAAAUAAAUAUACAGAGUGUCCCACAAGGAUUUACCCAUUGCGAUAUCUCCUAAGAUAAUAAAUAUAUCAUAAAUCUGUUUUUUUUUUAUUAGACUCACCAAGAACAAGGACUACAUAUAUUAAUAUUUAUUAAUAUUUUAAAAUUCAAUUCAAUUUUUUGAUAAAACUUAACUUAUAACGUACAACUUUUUAGCACUAUUUUGGCAAGUACAUUCAAUUACCAAACUAAAAAAAAAAACUUUUUGUUGUAAUUUUUUUUUAUAAUAAAGAGCAUUUUACUCAAUAAAAUCAAUCAGGAAUUGUCUAUAACUAACUUUUUAAUACUUUAUUAGAUAACAAUAAAAAUAAAUUACUUCUUUCACCCACUAUUUUGUCUAUAGUAUAAUCAUUUUACUUUAACGUUUUAAAUUUAUAUUUAUGAUGAUCAGGGCUUACAGUGACUUAUUAAAAACUUAGUCUAUGGUUAUAUCAUACAGUUUUACUCGUAAGGGUAGAUCAUUACUCCUUAUUCUAUCUCCGUUGAAAUAACAAUACGUUAAGUGCUAUAUCAAAAUUAAAAACCAAUUUGCCUUCCAUUUUUAGUAGGUACCUUAUAAUGGUACUCAACCCAUAAUAUACUUGAUUUUACUUAACUUUAAUCUUAUCUCAACUUAAGUCUUAAUUCAAAAAUGUGAUUGGCAAUUACCUAAUUAUAUCUUUAAUAUUAGUCUUAUAAGUCUUGUAUUUUUCUUAGUUAAUAUCUAUCUAUCUUUGUAAUUAACCAGUUUCGAGCAUGCAGAAUGACAGCAGCGACUGUUAAGAGGCCCUAUUCCCCCCACUUUGUGCCAUUUAGUGUGGAGUUGUGGAGUGCCGACCGUUAACAAUUGUGAUUGUGCAAAGUCGAUAUGUCAAAGGAAAAUGAGCAAUUUGAACGCAAUUUGGUUGGGAAACGUAGUCAAAAUAAUAAUUUUCUAAGAUAAAAUUUAGAAAUUUAAAAAUAUGAUAAGCAGUGGUAUUUUUUAACCAUAAUUAUAUGUACCUUUAAACAUAUUCAACAUACUGAGUAUGUAAGAUGUUAUUAUUAACCAGUUAGAUAAGAUUUAAUCUAUACCAAAAUAUUUGUAUGAUUAUUGGUUCUUUCAAGUCUAUAAAAUUAUAAUAUAUUGAAUAGUUAAUGUUAUAAGUCUACAAAUAUUUACCUGAAUUCAGUGAGAUAGUGAGAGAGUAAGUGGUAUUUAGAUUAUAUAAAUAUACGAGUAAACAUAGAUAUUAUAAAUUAUCACAUAGCUAACAUAGCUAAUGCAUUUCUAGGACUGACAAAAUUGUGUUGCGUAGACACCUGUUUUUGCGCUACUAAACUCAGGAGGGACAAGAGUAAUACUAAUUUCAUGCUGAUUUAUUUUAUUUUACUAAAAUAAAAACAUUUUGGAUACUUAUUUUCACAUUCCCAAUCAAAUUCAUCAAAAUAAAUUAUUAAAAUUAGAAUGAAUUAUAUAUUUUAAAUGCUUACGUUAACUUAAAAAUUGGUUGUUCUAUACAAACUAGAAGAUUGUCAGAAGAACUAUAGGAAAAUCUGUAACCUGUACUCUGUUUGGAAAAAAAAUGUAUAAAAUGUUAUAAA